GUGCUCACUUUGGCAGCACAUAUACUAAAACUGGAAUGCUACAGAGCAGAUCAGCAUGGCCCCUGUGCAAGGAUGACAUGCAAAUUCACGAAGUGUUCCAUAUUUUG
rnacentral:snRNA from 1 species